UACGUAGGUGGCAAGCGUUGUCCGGAUUUACUGGGCGUAAAGCGAACGCAGGCGGAUCUUUAAGUAGGAAGUGAAAGGUUGGAGCUCAACUCUAACACUGCUCCCUAUACUGGAGAUCUUGAGUGCCGGAGAGAAAAACGGAACAAGUUGUGUAGCGGUGAAAUGCGUUGAUAUAACUUGGAACACCAAUGGCGAAAGCA
rnacentral:rRNA from 1 species